rnacentral:miRNA from 1 species
UUCACACACACACACACACACACACACACACACAUAUAUAUAUAUAUAUAUAUAUAUAUAUAUAUGUGUGUGUGUGUGUGUGUGUGUGUGUGUGUGAA